GUGACGCUCUUGGAUGUUGUCGUUCUCGUCACCGCUGUCUCUGGACCGUGAUCGGGGCCUGGGGGUGACGCAGAGGACAGCAGUGUUCCUCUGAAUCCUCUGUGACCUCACCGACCCACCUGCACCUGAAGCAGGGCUGUACAUAAAAGAAAAACUCAAAACAACUAAAUGGAAAAAAAAAAAAAAACGGCCAUUCAGGCACCGAUUGUUAUCUCGAUCUCUCUCCUCACCCAAAACAAGGUGGCGCUGUUAUCUAAUCGGGGCGUGUCCAUGGUGAUAACAGCUCACAGGUGGUUUUUAUGUCCGCAGCCUCUGUGAUCAUCUUUUACUAUCCAGCCUUGCAUGAGUACACACGGUGUAUACAAGGUCAGAACAAACAUGUGUUCCCUCUCAUUAACACUCUGAUUUUCUUUGAAUGAACAGUUAAACAAAGAACAGAGUGUGAUUUCAGUUCAUGGCAAACACUUGUGUAAAUAUGAGUCUCCUGGAAGCUUUUCUGGCCUCAAUCUGUGCAGAGAUGAAAUGUGAGGGGCUGCAGCUGCAGGCGUGCCAGCCAGCAGCUGGAUGUACAUGUUGUUACUUAAAAAAAAAAAAA